rnacentral:rRNA from 1 species
GGUUAAGCGACUAAGCGUACACGGUGGAUGCCCUGGCAGUCAGAGGCGAUGAAGGACGUGCUAAUCUGCGAUAAGCGUCGGUAAGGUGAUAUGAACCGUUAUAACCGGCGAUUUCCGAAUGGGGAAACCCAGUGUGUUUCGACACACUAUCGUUAACUGAAUACAUAGGUUAACGAAGCGAACCGGGGGAACUGAAACAUCUAAGUACCCCGAGGAAAAGAAAUCAACCGAGAUUCCCCCAGUAGCGGCGAGCGAACGGGGAGCAGCCCAGAGUCUGAAUCAGCUUGUGUGUUAGUGGAACGGUCUGGAAAGUCCGACGGUACAGGGUGAUAGUCCCGUACACCAAAAUGCACAGGUUGUGAACUCGAAGAGUAGGGCGGGACACGUGGUAUCCUGUCUGAAUAUGGGGGGACCAUCCUCCAAGGCUAAAUACUCCUGACUGACCGAUAGUGAACCAGUACCGUGAGGGAAAGGCGAAAAGAACCCCGGCGAGGGGAGUGAAAAAGAACCUGAAACCGUGUACGUACAAGCAGUGGGAGCCUCUUUAUGGGGUGACUGCGUACCUUUUGUAUAAUGGGUCAGCGACUUAUAUUCUGUAGCAAGGUUAACCGUAUAGGGGAGCCGAAGGGAAACCGAGUCUUAACUGGGCGUUAAGUUGCAGGGUAUAGACCCGAAACCCGGUGAUCUAGCCAUGGGCAGGUUGAAGGUUGGGUAACACUAACUGGAGGACCGAACCGACUAAUGUUGAAAAAUUAGCGGAUGACUUGUGGCUGGGGGUGAAAGGCCAAUCAAACCGGGAGAUAGCUGGUUCUCCCCGAAAGCU